GCUUUUGUAAAGAGUUUCAGGUAGAUUAUGUGGCAUUUGUAAAGCUUUUGGGCACAUAGAUACCCUGGUUGGUUUAAAAAUUAUAAGCAAAAGAAGAUUGGCUUUAACAAUGAAAAUCAUACUUAUGGAACCACUGAGGACCUUCGGAACUCACAUCAGUUAUGGAACCACUGAGGACCUUCGGAACUCACAUCAGUUAUGGAACCACUGAGGACCUUCGGAACUCACAUCAAUUGUAGAGUGUGCGUGUAUAGGAUUUAGAUGAAAUUAAGGACUUUGUCAAAUAUAUUUUUGAUACUGUAUAAACACAAUUAUAAUUUAUUCCGAUCUUUC
rnacentral:lncRNA from 1 species